rnacentral:rRNA from 1 species
CUCAAAGGAAUUGACGGGGACCCGCACAAGCGGUGGAUGAUGUGGUUUAAUUCGAUGCAACGCGAAAAACCUUACCCACCUUUGACAUGUACGGAAUCCUUUAGAGAUAGAGGAGUGCUCGAAAGAGAACCGUAACACAGGUGCUGCAUGGCUGUCGUCAGCUCGUGUCGUGAGAUGUUGGGUUAAGUCCCGCAACGAGCGCAACCCUUGCCAUUAGUUGCUACAUUUAGUUGGGCACUCUAAUGGGACUGCCGGUGACAAACCGGAGGAAGGUGGGGAUGACGUCAAGUCCUCAUGGCCCUUAUAGGUGGGGCUACACACGUCAUACAAUGGCUGGUACAGAAGGUUGCCAACCCGCGAGGGGGAGCUAAUCCUAUAAAGCCAGUCGUAGUCCGGAUCGCAGUCUGCAACUCGACUGCGUGAAGUCGGAAUCGCUAGUAAUCGCGGAUCAGAAUGUCGCGGUGAAUACGUUCCCGGGUCUUGUACACACCGCCCGUCACACCAUGGGAGCGGGUCUCGCCAGAAGUAGGUAGCCUAACCGCAAGGAGGGCGCUUACCACGGCGGGGUUCGUGACUGGGGUGAAGUCGUAACAAGGUA